ACAGACCAGGUAGCUACUCGGAGGCCCUGCACGUUGCCGAUGACUGGGUGAGUCGUACAGUAGCGAUCGAGGUGCGGCUGAUCACCUCCUUUGAGCAUGACAGCUACGCUACAGCGUCUCACAGUACUGCAUCAGAGAGUCGCACAGGCGGAGCACCCGAUUUCGGGGCCAUAGCUCAGCUGGAGAGCACUGCUUUGCAAGCAGGGGUCGUCGGUUCGAUCCCGACUGGCUCCACCAGAUUUGCAGAUCCCUCUGCAAACGCUCGCACCUGCGUGUGCGGACGGUCUCAGGGACCUGCAAGAGCCAAGACUUUGGGUCUGUAGCUCAGGUGGUUAGAGCGCACCCCUGAUAAGGGUGAGGUCGGUGGUUCGAGUCCUCCCAGACCCACCACUCUGAAUGUAAGAAGCACACUAAGAAUUUAAGAUGCGCCAGCAGUGAGGCUGGGGUAUGUUCUUUUAAAAUUUGUGACGUAGCGAGCGUUUGAGAUCAAACUAUCUUGACGUGUCGUUGUGGCUAAGGCGGGGACCUCGAGUCCCUAGAAAUUGAGUCGUUAUAGUUCGCGUCCGGGCGUUGUACCCCCGGACUCAGCAUGACCUUGAGGCAACUUGAGGUUAUAUGGUCAAGCGAAUAAGCGCACACGGUGGAUGCCUUGGCGGUCAGAGGCGAUGAAGGACGUGGCAGCCUGCGAAAAGUGUCGGGGAGCUGGCAACAAGCUUUGAUCCGGCAAUGUCCGAAUGGGGAAACCCACUGCUUCGGCAGUAUCCUGCAGUGAAUACAUAGCUGCUGGAAGCGAACCCGGUGAACUGAAAUAUCUAAGUAACCGGAGGAAAAGAAAUCAACCGAGAUUCCCUAAGUAGUGACGAGCGAACGGGGACUAGCCCUUAAGCUGGUAUGGUUCUAGAAAAACAACCUGGAAAGGUUGGCCAUAGAAGGUGAUAGCCCUGUAUUUAAAAGGGCCAUUCCAGUGAAGACGAGUAGGGCGGGGCACGUGAAACCCUGUCUGAAUAUGGGGGGACCACCUCCAAGGCUAAAUACUCCGACCGACCGAAAAU
rnacentral:sRNA from 1 species